CCUACGGGGGGCAGCAGUCGAGAAUCAUUAACAAUGGGGGAAACCCUGAUGGUGCGACGCCGCGUGGGGGAAUGAAGGUCUUCGGAUUGUAAACCCCUGUCAUGUGGGAGCAAAUUAAAAAGAUAGUACCACAAGAGGAAGAGACGGCUAACUCUGUGCCAGCAGCCGCGGUACUACAGAGGUCUCAAGCGUGGUUCGGAAUCACUGGGCGUAAAGCGUGCGUAGGCUGUUUCGUAAGUCGUGUGUGAAAGGCGCGGGCUCAACCCGCGGACGGCACAUGAUACUGCGAGACUAGAGUAAUGGAGGGGGAACCGGAAUUCUCGGUGUAGCAGUGAAAUGCGUAGAUAUCGAGAGGAACACUCGUGGCGAAGGCGGGUUCCUGGACAUUAACUGACGCUGAGGCACGAAGGCGAGGGGAGCGAAAGGGAUUAGAUACCCCUGUAGUC
rnacentral:rRNA from 1 species